GGGGGUAUGACAUAUUGGUUGUGUGGGAAAUUUCUAUUUUCCUUAAAUCAGUUCGAUUCUGAUUACUUCCA